GACGAACGCUGGCGGCGUGCCUAAUACAUGCAAGUCGAGCGGACAGACGGGAGCUUGCUCCCUGAUGUUAGCGGCGGACGGGUGAGUAACACGUGGGUAACCUGCCUGUAAGACUGGGAUAACUCCUGGAAACCGGGGCUAAUACCGGAUGGUUGUCUGAACCGAAUUGUUCCGACAUAAAAGGUGGCUUUGGCUACCACUUACAGAUGGGCCCGCGGCGCAUUAGCUAGUUGGUGAGGUAACGGCUCACCAAGGCAACGAUGCGUAGCCGACCUGGGAGGGUGAUCGGCCACACUGGGACUGAGACACGGCCCAGCCUCAUACGGGCGGGAGCAGUAGGGAAUCUUCCGCAAUGGACGAAAGUCUGACGGAGCAACGCCGCGUGAGUGAUGAAGGGUGUCGGAUCGGAAAGCUCUGUUGUUAGGGAAGAACAAGCGCCGUUCAAAUAGGGCGGCACCUUGACGGUACCUAACCAGAAAGCCACGGCUAACUACGUG
rnacentral:rRNA from 1 species